CCCCGCCUCGUCUCGGUGGUCGCAAGUCCGGUGCGGCGCCGGAGCGCAUCGUGUGACAUGCCACAGAUAUUUCUAUGUAAAACGACGCAGCGACACCGCUCCGACGCCGCACCGCCGCGCCGCCGCAACGCAUCGUGAUAAUAUCUUGUCUUUUAUACCGAU